rnacentral:tRNA from 1 species
GCCCAGGUGGCGGAAUUGGCAGACGCGCCAGCUUGAGGGGCUGGUGGGCUUCGGCCUGUGCUGGUUCGAAUCCAGUCCUGGGCA